CAGCCAUCUGGAUCAACAAAAGAGGCGAUCUUAGUGUUGAUCCCAGGUAGAGGUCCUGGCUGCCGCAAAAUCUUGCCACCUAGUUCUUUGGUUGCCAAAUCAACUGCCUCUGCACUCUUGUACACAUCGUUGGUGCCAAUGGCAAUCUGCACUUACUAGUCAAACAAUUAAGCAACGCCAAAAUAUUAUUAGAAAAAUGCUGCUGAUAAAAGAUUGCAAAGACCUGAGCAUAUGCAUUGCCCUUGCUAUAUUCUGUGACUCCAUAGUUGUAUAUCAACUCCAGAGCAGUUGUCUUGUCCUCUUCGGCAUAACCCAAUUUGGCAAUGGUAUGCUGUAUAAUUCCGAAAAUGUUCAGUCUACUAAGCUGAAAGAACACUACAUCUAAAAAAUUGCUUGGAACAGCAGGUACCUUAUAAUCAGGUACAUCCUUCUUCGUUAGUAGCUUCAUCCCAAGGGCCUGCAUGGAAACAAACAAUACAUCAUCAUGUAUGAGAAUGAGACUGCUCCUCUAGAAGAGAGACAAAGGAAUAUUUAGCAUCUCCAACUUUUGUAAUACCCAGCCUUACAAAAGGAAAAAAAGAACCUUCUCAUAGAACUUGAUAGAACGCUCAAGAUCACCAACACGAAGCAUGACUUGGCAAAGAGGGUCAUGUAUCUCAGCCCUCUGGAUAAGGGCAAACCUGUAGCCAUCAGGGUCCUGUGCAAAGGCAAUAACAGUGGAUCCUCCCUUGACAGGACCAGGUUCACGAGUGAUAUUGCCACCCUUGGAUUUAAUAUGGUCGGCCAACUUGUACACCUGCAUUUGCAUCCAUGAUGUCAAUAAAAAAAAUGCAUUUAUCAUAUCAUAUGAACAUAAUUUUGCAGCAUCGACAUAGGCUAUUGCAAAUUGAUGAUACUUGCAUCCUCAUUAGCGAUUCCGAAAUGCCCAAAGCCCUCUCCAAUGUCAUACUUGUCAACACCAUAGUCUGUUGAACAAGGGUGAACUUUUUAGCACAGUAGAAGUUACAGAAAAUUGAAAUGCUUUACCAGGAAAAGAGUUGGUCAGUUCAUAUAAGAGAUAAAUAUAUCCUUCCUUAUUGCAUCCAAAAAAUAUAUCCUUCCUUAUCAGGUUGAUACAUAUUGUACAACUGCAAACAUAAGUGGCAUAUUGGAGGACUGUGCCACAAAUUUUUUGGCAGCUCAGUGAACAUACUGUAUGUCAAUUCAAGUGCGAAGUUGGUGUCCUCUGGUCCAAAGCCAAGGAAGGCGUUGGUGUACUUCUCAUCAGGAACAUCUCUUUUCCUCAGCAGCUUCAUCCCAAAGCAUUCUGUGUAGUACCUACCACAAUGAGAAAGGUCCAUCAGAACCAUGAUAUUACUUGCAGAUGUUGCAAAUGUCACUUAGAAUAUAGCAACAUACUUAAUCGUGCGAUCCAGAUCCCCGACACGGUAAACCGCAUGGAGCAUCCUCUUGCUGUCCUGUUUAUGCCACCCAAGCACAGCCUCAGCUGGCUUUACGGCUUCACUACCAGUUGCCAUCCCUGAUGCAAGAGUUGCACAUUUAAUUAAAAAAGGGAGGGGGGGGGGGGGGUAAUCUUGAUCAAAUUGUUGAGGUGUCCAGAUUCCAGAUUAUGACCGUUGUGUCAUGUAUGCACAAUUCUGGCAGAAAAUCAUAUUGCUUGAAGACCUUUUAUCAGUACAUGGAAGUGGAAAAUCCAAUUAGUCAAUGUUUUCCUCUUCUCUGAGAAUUAGAAAUACCACUCUCUCCUACAUCUCUUAUCAUACAAAUGGAUCAGUGCUCACCUGACAGAACUCAAGGUGAAUACAUCUCCUUUUUUUCCACUUUCCCCAUUACACUCCCAAUCCCAAAGUACAUCUCUAUUGGAAUCUAUAUUGGAAAGACAGCAGCAAAAGUCGCAGCUCAACCAAAUCAAGAUGCAAGGCUCCCCAUGCAGAACUUUGGUGAUGCAUUAGCCAUCCAUUUGAUGGACAUACAUAACCGGAAAAAAGAAGAAGAUAAGAUGGGUGGGCCUCCCUGCUCUUACAAAGAUCCUCUUGAUGUCUGGCAAUCUAAAAUUAGACUCUUGAGGAUGAAGGCCCAAAGGUGGCCUUUAAAAGUAAACUCUAAACUUAGAGAGGAUAAGCAUCUGUUUGAAAAUUUGCAGCUUUCAGAUGUGGAAGCUGAUAGAAUUAAACAUGUGCUGCUGCUGUUUUGUGGAGCGUCUGGAAACUGAGGAAUUCACUCUGUUUUCAGGGAGCAAUCUGAAUACACUUGCGCUUACACGCUCUGAACUCUGAUUGUGACACUUCAAUAAUGCUCGUGAGAUAAUAAAGCGGGGGAGCAAGAGAUUUGCCUAAUUAUAUUAGAAAAACUAAAGAAAAAGGGGAACAUUUUCCGUAAAUUAAAAAUGAAGAUGGAAAGCCCUGGCAAGAUAGGUCCUGUAAAGAUAGAUUAUCUUCACAGGGCAUCGAAGUGCAAACCCUCCCCCAUUUCAGCAUUUGGGACGCUCACCCUGGGUUGGAUUCCGUCGGCGACGGCUCUGCACAGCACAGCAGUGUCCACUCCCCUGUUGGCUUUUUUUUUUUUUUUUUUGACAACCCCCUGUUGGCUUUGGGCUUUGGCUUCCUCCUUGUCCUCGCAAUCAUCGGGAGAAGAAAACGACGCACCUAUAUACAGCCAUACAGGCUACCGCCCGCUACAGUGGAGUAGUGUGUACACUCUACGGUCCACACAGGGGGAGGGGAGGAGAGGAGCCCAACGUGCCACACGGCGAGAAAGUUCUUCGGACAUUUUAGUGUGUUCUUUUUCUUUGAAACAAAAAGAUUAAAAAAUAGGUUAUUUUUCCCCUUUUUUAGAAUAGUUAGGGUCGUCUAUAUUUCAGAACAAAAAAAUUUUCACCUUAUUAGGCCUUGUUUAGUUUUCAAAAAGUAGGCAAAUUUUUUUAAAGAUUCUCUGUCACAUUGAAUCUUACGGCAUAUAUAUGGAGCAUUAAAUAUAGAUGAAAACAAAAACUAAUUGCACAGUUUGUCUGUAAAUCAGUUUGUCUGUAAAUCACGAGAUAAAUCUUUUGAGUCUAAUUAGUUUAUAAUUAGAAAAACGAAAAUACUACAGUGUCCCAAAACAAAAAAAUUAAGAACUAAACAAGGCCUUAGUCAAUGCUAAAAAUAAAAAUCUAUCUAGAAGACACGAAAAACCCUAUCUCUCCUCCCUAUGGUCAUCUCUAUAUUGCAAUAGAGUCUAAUAUCAUAGGAUAUUCAAAAAGUGUUUAGCUUACAUUUAUUACACACGGACAUAAACACACAACAUGCACAUCCAUCCCUACGAACAUCACUCACACACUCUACCUCUUUGAACAUUUUUAAAGGAUUAAACCGAUAAAAUUUUAAAUUAACAAAGUCACGGUAAAAAUCUCUAUAGAUAGAUCACUUAGCACUAAAAAUUAUCAUUAUUAAAUCCUAAAAUAAAUUUAGAAAAAAUAUGAACAUUCAUAUCAAGCAAAUGAUUUAAAUCUAAAUAAUAUGUAUAGCACAACCAUAAAAAUUGAUAUGGUAAUAACCGAAACCCUCAAAAACCGCCUGCCCCGCUCAUUCCGUCGAACACCUGUUGCGCCGUCUCCUCCUCGCCGACGCACUCCCUCCGAUGCGCCGCUUCUGCCACAUCCCUCGCGGCCGGCGAGUGGCCACAGCGCCCCACGACCACCAGCCACUGCCGCCACCGGAGUGAAUCGAGCCGUAUCCGGACCUCGCGGACCCGAGCCCGUACGCCUCCGCCUCGGCGGCCCCGCCCACACCAUCGCCGUGGCUGCCAUCUACACGGUGUAGUGGUGAUUGGUGAGGAAUGAUUCCCGGUUAGCCUCUCCUCUCUUGCGGCCUCGCCGCUCUGUUUCUGCGGGACGCCGGAGGAGACUCGCUCGCUUCGCUCGACGUGAUGGCGCGAGCUCCGCGGCCGUCUCCGGCGGUGCCCACCCUGCUCCGCCUCCUCUCUUCCCAUCCCUCCCUCUCCGCUACCGCCGCCGCGCACGCCGCGCUGCUCAAGUCCUCCGCCCUCUCCAGCGCCGUCCCGAUCGCGGCCACCGCGCUCCUCACCGCCUACGCGAGCGCGGGACACCCGGGCGCCGCGUCCCGCCUGUUCGACGAAAUGCCCGCGCGGGACGCCGUCGCGUGGAAUGCGCUCCUCGCCUGCCUCGUCCGCCACGCGCGCGCCGGGGCGGCGGCUGCCGCCACCUUCCGCGGCAUGGCCACCUCUGGGGUCCCGCCCACGCCCGCCACGCUCUGCACCAUGCUCAAGGCGUGCGCCACGUCGCGCGCCGCCCGCCCUGGCCGCCAGCUCCACGCGCGGGGUGUCGUCUCGUGCCGCGCCGACGCCAACGACGUCGUCGUGGCCACCGCGCUCGUCGAUCUCUACAUGAGCUGUGGUCUCGUCGAGGACGCCAUGAGGGUGUUUGUGCUCACGAGGUGCCCCAAGGAUGCUGCCCUGCACAAUGCUGUUCUUUCAGGUUGCGUGGAGAACGGAUGGUUCAGCGACGCCUUCACCAUGCUCAGGCGACACUCCAUGGAGCUCGAUGGGGUCUCGCUGACCUCUGCUCUCACGGCCUGCGCAGCGACAGCGAACCUGGCUUACGGUAUGCAGCUGCACUGCAAGGCUCUCCGUGGUGAGUUUGAUUCUGACACCAUUCUAUGCAAUGCGCUCAUUGACAUGUAUGCAAAAUGUGGGAGAGCAACGUCUGCGCGUAUAGUAUUCAACCGGAUGGCUACCAGAAAUGUGGUCUCCUGGUCAAGUAUGAUUGAUGCUUAUAGUCGCCAUGGACAUGGCGUGGAUGCUUUGGAUUUGUUUAAGCUAAUGGAGAAGGCUGCACCAAUGGUCUUGCCAAAUGCUAUCACAUUUCUGGCGCUUCUGUCAGCCUGUGCACACACUGGUCUGGUGGAUGAAGCUCAGUCCAUGCUGCAUUUGAUGAAGAGCAAGUACGGGAUUGAUCCACAGCCUGAACACUACGCGUGUCUAAUAGACAUGCUCGGACGUACAGGCCGUAUUGACGAGGCUUGGGAUCUAUAUUGUAGUCUAACUGCAAGUAGAAAUAAGUCUUCCAGUGCCAUCUGUGUCGCGAUGCUGAACGCGUGCAGAGCAAACAUGGAUGCUGUAAGAGGAAAGAAGGUGGCUGUGCGCAUGCUGGAGGUUGAUCCACGAAACCCUAGGAUUCAUGUGUUGAUUUCGAAUUUUCAUGCUGCUAUGAGACAAUGGUCUGAAUCAAAUGAAUCGCGGAGGAUUAUAGUGGACGAGGGUCUCAGGAAAGAAGCGGCUAGCAGUCAUGUCUGUUUUGGUUAACAACUAAAUGUGCACAUAUCUUGAAAACAUUUGCCACAGAGUGUUGCAGAGAUUGGUUAGGAUACUGUGGUAGCCACAAAACAGGUCCUUACCCUAGGUACACGCCACGACCGGUAAUACCGAGAAUUUUAGUGCCGAUUUUGAUUUUGUCAGCAUAGUGUACUUUUUUGACAGAUAAAAAGAUUGAAAAUUGUUGGUGUAUAUAUAGUUAAUUAAUCCCAAAUCAUGCAGCUUCAUCUAGCUUACUUGGCAUAUCAUCACUUUGGUUGAUGUACUCACUGUUUGCUAUGAAGGUCGUUUUUUCUUUCUUUCUUUUGUGAUUCUUACCUCCUAAGGCUAUAAAAUCUUUUUCCCCUCUGCUAUAUCAGCAGAAAUGAACACUCUCUGGUCUUUCGUUUAUUAAAAAGAACUGACUUUGUUCAGUUUGACAUGAUUACAGUGAGCCUGAAUUUUUGUUCUCUUACAUUUCUGUUUCAUACUGAGGAAGCCAUAAAUAAUGCAUGAGAAUGGAUGUGAAGAAAUAAUUCAUCUCUUGGGAAACUAAUUUGAUAUGUUUCAUCCCUCUUCUUGGAUUAUGGGUUCAGAAAAAAUGCGGAAUCGUCAUGACCUUUAUAAAUUUACACGCCAAUUUUUGUGUCAUGAGUUGGAAUGGUCAGUGGUCUCUACUGUGUAUAACAGAAGUAUCCAACAAACAAGCAUAAAUACUUUCUGAAGUUGGAUGUGAUGAAAUACAAAAGGUUAUUGCUCGCAAAAAAAGGAAAAAAAAAGGUUCUUCACCUGCAGUUAGUCUGUGUACGUGGUACUGGUACGGAAGCCGGAAGCGGAUCAAGUUCCGCGCUGUGAUAUUCAUCUUGGUAAAGAACGACAAUUGAUCGAUCAAAAGCUCUCAAUAGGUUAUCAGUCCACAUGAGUACUUGACCUUAGUUUUCCUAUUCGUAGUAUAUGCAUGGUUUGAACCUCUAGCAACAGAGAACUGCUGUUGGUUGAUUAAUCCUUUUUUCCUGCACCGCCCAGAAUAGAAAAUUGGCUGGGGGUUCAUCAUUUAGUUCAGAUGGCGGCCUGUUUUCAAAGAAAGCAAGAGCUCGAUGACAGACGUGGUGCCAUCUCAAACUGUUGCAGAUUGUCCUGUUGAGAAAAAUUACUGCAUUUUUUUUUCAAAAGCAGCACAUACAUGAAGCCUUGAUUUAUUUGCGCAACCAUUGGCAAUCCAUAGCUAGAAAAUAGAGCCUGCCCAAGAUGAUUUUCCACAAAACCAGCAAUAUCAGAGCGAUAUCACAAUGCGAUCCAUCAACAGACUCAUUGGUUGUUGAUUUCACGUGGAGCCCAAUCAAAGGAAAUCGUAAAUUUGGCGAUCUGUAGCUUGUUGAAGUUCAGUUCAGGCAGCAGAAAAGGGUGCAGAAAACACGCUAGCUUUCAAUAACUAGAGCACCCAAAUUAUGCUUCAUUGGCAUCCGAACUGGCUUUCAGAUCUUUAAAUCGCCUUGUUUAGCAUCGAUAAUCAGGCAAUGGGUAAGUUUGCUACCUCAGCCUUGUUUAGUUCUAAAAAAUUUUAGAGAAACGACACUGUAGCACUUUGUUUUUAUUUGACAAACAUUGUAUAAUCAUAGAAUAACUAGGCUUAAAAGAUUCGUCUCACAAUUUACAGGCAAACUGUGUAAUUAAUUUUUAUUUUUAUCUAUAUUUAAUGCUUCAUGCAUGUGCCGUAAAAUUCGAUGUGACAGAAAAAUCUUGAAAAGUUUUUGGUUUUUUGGAAUGAACUAAACAAGGCCCUCCUAUAGAAUGUGGAUGCAUAAGGUGACACGAAGAAAAAAAAAAAGGCAUCAUAGAAGGAGCCCUCUUUGGCAGGCUUCCAGGUUGCAUCACCUGUAGCGUCAGUUUGAGCUUCACUGGCUCCUACAGUGUAUGAACAGUGCCAGAAUUGUAGCACCCCUUAGCCCUGCCAAAUAAGCCCCUUGAUAUGUUGCUACAUGGAGCAAUUGCAUUUAGUAGCAGGCACAGUCACAUAACAAAUCCCAAACCUCACUGGCAGAAGCACAACCUCUGUAGCAACAUCCAUUAUUAUCAGUUCAUCCAGGCGGAAACAAACCACUCACAUCUUAUUACAUUCACAGACAAGCAUUACUACAUCCUAGGACAGCAACUGGGUAUCCCGGUCUUCAGUGGAGUUCCCUGAGGAAGUCGGUGUUGUCAACCAGAACCUACAAUGUUAAGGAUAAAAUGUCACAUAUAGGUAUACAAUCAUUUGAUUUUAUGAUUCAUUUGAUUUGGGGGCUGGGUUACACAAAACAAACACAAUAGUCAUGAGAUGACAUGAUAGUGCAGAUAAAGAUAUUGGAGCUAUAAUUUAGCUUCCCAGUGUACACCCAUCACCCAUGGAACAGAAUCCUGAUUUCGAUAUGGCUAGGCUUCACAGGUGCAUCAAGUUUAAGCUUUGAAACUAUGGUAGCGCCAAAGUUUAUGCAAAGCAUUAAUCAUUUCAUUGUCACCGGCUCUUGAUUUGAAGAAAGCACUAGUCAAUUUAACAGUUACCUUUUUUAUUUUACGCGAAAUUUAACAGUUAACUGUACAGAACAGAUGGAAGCAUACCACUUUCCAGCCAUCUGGAUCAACAAAAGAGGCUAUCUUAGUGUUGAUCCCAGGUAGCGGCCCUGGCUGCCGCAAAAUCUUGCCACCUAGUUCUUUGGUCGCCAGCUCAACCGCCUCAGCACUCUUGUACACAUCGUUGGUGCCAAUGGCAACCUGCACUUACAUAAGCCAAACAAUUAAGAAAUGCCUAAAUAUAAUUAGAAAAAUGCUUCAGAUAAAGAUUUCAUAAAGACCUG
rnacentral:lncRNA from 1 species